ACAGAUCGUUCAGAGUUUGAUCCUGGCUCAGGACGAACGCUGGCGGCGUGCCUAACACAUGCAAGUCGAGCGGAGAGGAGGGAGCUUGCUCCCGAAUCUUAGCGGCGGACGGGUGAGUAACGCGUGAGCAACCUGCCUUGAACUGGGGGAUAACGCAUCGAAAGAUGUGCUAAUACCGCGUAAGACCACGCUACCGCAUGGUAGAGGGGUCAAAGGAGCAAUCCGGUUUAAGAUGGGCUCGCGUCCGAUUAGCUAGUUGGUGAGAUAACGGCCCACCAAGGCGACGAUCGGUAGCCGACCUGAGAGGGUGAUCGGCCACAUUGGAACUGAGACACGGUCCAG
rnacentral:rRNA from 1 species